CAUAACGCCCUAUUAAAUUUGAAUCUCUGAUAAACAAAUAAUUUUUAAAGUGUAAGUAUAUCCCAUGGAUAUUUGGGACAUACUUAUUCUGAAAAGUAUUUACUGUUUAUCUGAAAUUCAAAUUUAAAU
rnacentral:miRNA from 1 species